rnacentral:tRNA from 1 species
GCAGGCGUCGUCUAACGGCAGGACACUUUCCGUCUCGCGAUCCCUCGCCCGUCACCGGGCCGCUGGGAGAUGGUUCUUGAUGUGGGAUCAAGUGACGCUGGUUCGACUCCAGCCGCCUGUA